GUCUGCGGUGUAGGGGUAGUGGGCCGAAGUAUCUUGUUAAAAGGGAAGGACUUACACAUUUCAGCAUUCAUGUACAUUUGUUAGACCACAAGAACAUGCUCUAUUACAUCUUGGUCUUGGAGUUCCGCCUCAAAGAAGAAAUGGCAGAAGAGCACAAGGUAGCUGAGGUACAUGAGUGAGGACCAGAAGAUGUUCUGAAAGUGAGAGUAACACUGGUCAUGCUGCAUCCAGUAGAAGAC